UUUGGCUGCUCGCUACAUAAAGUUGAUCUUUGCACAUACCUCGCGAAAAUUUUUGCAAUCAGUGAAAAAUACAAGUGAUCAGUAAUAGAGAAAACCAGGAAACGAUUCCCUGCAGUGAGAGCCGUAAUAUUUCGCUCAUCCAUUUUCGCUGGUGUGUCACUGUCGGAAACGUACGGUGCCCAGCUUCCAGAAAGCUGCAUCAGGACGAGAUCGGACGAUCUCUACGCUAAAUUUCUGGAGGAGCGGCCAACGCGACUCUCUCGCUCUCCAGACCCUGGUUCCGAGCCAAAGUAAGCCGAUAUACGCAGCCGGCGAGGAACCAGCUCCCAUAAGGGAAGCGCUCUACAAACGCGCCCUGACAUGAAUACCUAAGGAGGAGCUCCUAUUUGUGCGUCGAACAAGAAUGCGGACUUAAUUCGUUUCGUCUGCGUCGAGCCCGAGUGGAUGCUUCAGAUUUUCUGUUUCGUCUCUCCGCCUGGGAUGGGGCAAGAGCCACUUCUCUCUGGCAACUCUGCUGCCACUCUAGUGCGGGUAGCUUCUUUCUGCUCGGCGAGAUUCCGCAGGCAAUGUGAGCCUGGCAGCGUGCGUCGCCAAUCCGGACAUCGUCCCUAACCUCGAAGAUCCUAUAGAGAUUUUCCAAGGCAGCGUGCGUCGCCAAUCCGGACACCGUCCCAAACCUCGACGAUCCGAUAAAGAUCUUCCCAGGAAGCGUGCGCCAAACCGGCUCGCCUACGUGCAUGCGUGUAUUGACCUGGAGAUGGGCGCACUGCCAUAGCGUGGGAUAUAUUGUUGUAUAAGUCUAUUUUUCCACUUAAUUAGUACGCUUCUCGUGUAAGAGACAAAAGACAUGCGCGCUUUCUGUAUAUGCUGUGGACCGUAGAGGAGAAUCCAUUAGGAUUGUUGGGUACACGACCCCAGACCGUUUAACCGUGGAGAACCACACUUUGUUUCAGCAACCACGUCGGAAGAUCGAUCUUUCGCCGAGGGAUGUUCCAGAUCGAGUGAGUGAACAAAUGUAAGAGUCCCAUGUGUAACCCAGUAGAUUUGAAUCGCCAAUUGGGCGUUAAAGUGACCAAUCCUACCGUGUUCUCUCUAUAAGUCCAGCGCGAAUUCGUUUAUUAACCUUAACCUAUCGUAAAUAUCGAGAAUAGACCGUACUUUUGAAUCUGGUUCGGUCUCAAAGCCUCGAACAAUUUGACUGAUCGACAAGUCACGAAUAAAAUCAAACGAUAUUAGCUUAAAUCAAGAAUAAUGCCUGAAUUCCAAAAGAUCCAAAUUUUAAACUUCAGUUAAGUGAAACAGAACGCGAAAAGUCUGAAAUUUGAAAACCGAACUAAUGAUUAAUAGAAAAUUUGUAGAAAGUAAAUAUUCCUUUGUAGUUUAUACCUCUUUAUCAUACAGUAUCUCCAUAUAUAUAUAUCUUUAAGCCAUCAUAUACCUCCAUUAUAUAUUGUUACCAUUUAUUAUAUUACUUCAUAUUUUUGUCGCCAUCGCUUUUGAAUUAUGAUACCCGUUAAUUAGAAUUAAGGAUAGAAAUGAAGCUGAAUAUAUUGAAUUACCGAAA